rnacentral:ribozyme from 12 species
UUGCAUCCGCCAAAAAAAAGAAAAAAUCAAAACAAUAAAAAGAAAUAAAAUAUGUAAAUGUAAUAUUGUGUUCAUGUAAACAAUUUCUUCUUUUCCUCCUUCCCCCCUCAAAGCGUUUCCCGCUCUUUUUUCUUUCCACCUUUCUUCUUCUUUCUAUUUUUAAUU